rnacentral:rRNA from 1 species
GACGAACGCUGGCGGCGUGCCUAAUACAUGCAAGUAGAACGCUGAAGGAGGAGCUUGCUCUUCUGGAUGAGUUGCGAACGGGUGAGUAACGCGUAGGUAACCUGCCUGGUAGCGGGGGAUAACUAUUGGAAACGAUAGCUAAUACCGCAUAACAGUAGAUGUUGCAUGACAUUUGCUUAAAAGGUGCAAUUGCACCACUACCAGAUGGACCUGCGUUGUAUUAGCUAGUUGGUGGGGUAACGGCUCACCAAGGCGACGAUACAUAGCCGACCUGAGAGGGUGAUCGGCCACACUGGGACUGAGACACGGCCCAGACUCCUACGGGAGGCAGCAGUAGGGAAUCUUCGGCAAUGGACGGAAGUCUGACCGAGCAACGCCGAGUGAGUGAAGAAGGUUGUCGGAUCGUAAAGCUCUGUUGUAAGAGAAGAACGAGUGUGAGAGUGGAAAGUUCACACUGUGACGGUAGCUUACCAGAAAGGGACGGCUAACUACGUG